AGGUUUCCGUAGGUGAACCUGCGGAAGGAUCAUUAACGAGAGGGGGACCUCGCGUCCCCUGGGGCUCCGGCCCCGACUCUUCACCCUGUGUGUACCUACCUUUGUUGCUUCGGCGGGCCGUCGUUCGCGCCGCUUCGCCUGGGGGUUACCCCGGGCUUCGCGUGCGCCCGCCGGAGGCCUUCCAAACCCCGUCAUCAGUGUCGUCCGAGGAGAAAUUCAAUACCUAAAACUUUCAACAACGGAUCUCUUGGUUCUGGCAUCGAUGAAGAACGCAGCGAAAUGCGAUAAGUAAUGUGAAUUGCAGAAUUCAGUGAAUCAUCGAAUCUUUGAACGCACAUUGCGCCCCUUGGUAUUCCGAGGGGCRUGCCUGUUCGAGCGUCAUUGCAACCCUCAAGCGCUGCUUGGUACUGGGCUUCGUCCGCAGGGACGUGCCCGAAAGUUAGUGGCGGUCCGGCCGGGACCCCGAGCGUACUAAAGCUACAUCCCGCUCAGGGCGAUCCCGCGGCGGCUAGCCAGUCAACACCCAAUAUCUUCAAUGGUUGACCUCGGAUCAGGUAGGGAUACCCGCUGAACUUAAGCAUAUCAAUAAGCGGAGGAAAAGAAACCAACAGGGAUUGCCUCAGUAACGGCGAGUGAAGCGGCAACAGCUCAAAUUUGAAAUCUGACCCUUUCGGGGCCCGAGUUGUAAUUUGCAGAGGAUGUUUCGGGUGCGGCGCCGUUCUAAGUUCCUUAGAACAGGACGUCAUAGAGGGUGAGAACCCCGUAUGCGACCGGCGAUCAACCCAUGUGAAACCCCUUCGACGAGUCGAGUUGUUUGGGAAUGCAG
rnacentral:rRNA from 1 species